rnacentral:rRNA from 1 species
AAGGAAUAAAUUAAUAAAAUUUUUAUUGUGUGUAUUUUAUUUUAAAUAAAAUAAUAAUUAUUAAAUUUAUUUUAGUAAAAUUUUGAAAAAAAAAAUAUUUUAUAGUUUAUUAGUAUAGUGAUAGAUAGAUGAAUAAAUAAAAAUAAUAAUAAUUUUUAAAAAAGUAAAUUUAAUUUAUUGUAUCUUGUGUAUCAGAGUUUAUUAAAAUAAUUUUUUUUAAAAAAAAUUCUCGAAAAAAAAAGAGAUAUUUAUUUAUAAUUGUUAAUGUGAUAAUUUUAUAUUAUAUAAAUAAAUAGAGAUAAAAAGUUAUUCGAUUUUUUAAAUAUCUAGUUUUUAAAGAAAUAAAUUAAAUUUAAUUAGUUAAUUAUAUAUAUAUAUAUAUAUAUAUAUAUAUAUAUAUAUAUAUAUAUAUUUGCAAUAAGUAUUUUAAGGGAUAAUCUUUAAGAUAAAUAAUUAUAUAUUAUAUAUUUUUAUUAAAAUUUAUAUAAUUAAUAUUUUUAAUUAAUUAAAAUUUUUAAUAAAUAUUUUUAUUUUAAUAAGUAUUUUAUUAUAAAAUUUAUUAAUUGUUUAUUUAAAAAAUAAUUUUAAUUAAGUUGUAUUAUGAUAUAAUGAUAAAAUUAGUAUAAAAAUAAAAAUAAAAAUUAAGUUAUUAUAAAUUAGUUAUAUUAAUUUAAGGAAUUCGGCAAAAUUUAUAUUUACCUGUUUAACAAAAACAUGUCUUAAAGAUUAAUAAUUUUAAGUCUAAUCUGCCCCCUGAGUUUUUCUUAAAGGGCCGCAGUAUUUUGACUGUGCUAAGGUAGCAUAAUAAUUAGUUUUUUGAUUGGAAACUAGAAUGAAUGAUUGGAUAAAAUAUAUACUGUCUGAGAUUAAAUUAAUUAGAAUUUAAUUUUUUAGUGAAAAAGCUAAAAUAUUAUUAAAAGACGAGAAGACCCUAUAGAUCUUAUAUUAGUUGAUAUAUUAUUGUAUGUAAUAAAAAUAAUAAUAAAUUAUCUAAUUUAAUUGGGGUGAUUAAAAAAUUUAUAGAAUUUUUUUAAAUUUUAAACAAUGAUUUUUGGGGGUUUAAUCUAUUAUUAAUAAAUAUAUAUUAAGUUACCUUAGGGAUAACAGCGUAAUUUUAAAUUUAAGUUCUUAUUGAAUUUAAAGAUUGCGACCUCGAUGUUGGAUUAAGAUUAAAUAUUUAUGCAAAAGUUAAUAAUUUAAGUCUGUUCGACUUUUAAAAUCUUACAUGAUCUGAGUUCAGACCGGCGUGAGCCAGGUUGGUUUCUAUCUUUAAUUUGAAAUUAUAAUUUAGUACGAAAGGAAUUUUUAUAAGUAUAAUUUAAUACUAAACUUUUUAGAAUAAAAUUAA